GUUAAGCGACUAAGCGUACACGGUGGAUGCCCUGGCAGUCAGAGGCGAUGAAGGACGUGCUAAUCUGCGAUAAGCGUCGGUAAGGUGAUAUGAACCGUUAUAACCGGCGAUUUCCGAAUGGGGAAACCCAGUGUGUUUCGACACACUAUCAUUAACUGAAUCCAUAGGUUAAUGAGGCGAACCGGGGGAACUGAAACAUCUAAGUACCCCGAGGAAAAGAAAUCAACCGAGAUUCCCCCAGUAGCGGCGAGCGAACGGGGAGCAGCCCAGAGCCUGAAUCAGUGUGUGUGUUAGUGGAAGCGUCUGGAAAGGCGCGCGAUACAGGGUGACAGCCCCGUACACAAAAAUGCACAUGCUGUGAGCUCGAUGAGUAGGGCGGGACACGUGGUAUCCUGUCUGAAUAUGGGGGGACCAUCCUCCAAGGCUAAAUACUCCUGACUGACCGAUAGUGAACCAGUACCGUGAGGGAAAGGCGAAAAGAACCCCGGCGAGGGGAGUGAAAAAGAACCUGAAACCGUGUACGUACAAGCAGUGGGAGCACGCUUAGGCGUGUGACUGCGUACCUUUUGUAUAAUGGGUCAGCGACUUAUAUUCUGUAGCAAGGUUAACCGAAUAGGGGAGCCGAAGGGAAACCGAGUCUUAACUGGGCGUUAAGUUGCAGGGUAUAGACCCGAAACCCGGUGAUCUAGCCAUGGGCAGGUUGAAGGUUGGGUAACACUAACUGGAGGACCGAACCGACUAAUGUUGAAAAAUUAGCGGAUGACUUGUGGCUGGGGGUGAAAGGCCAAUCAAACCGGGAGAUAGCUGGUUCUCCCCGAAAGCUAUUUAGGUAGCGCCUCGUGAAUUCAUCUCCGGGGGUAGAGCACUGUUUCGGCAAGGGGGUCAUCCCGACUUACCAACCCGAUGCAAACUGCGAAUACCGGAGAAUGUUAUCACGGGAGACACACGGC
rnacentral:rRNA from 1 species